rnacentral:rRNA from 1 species
UGGGGAAUAUUGGUCAAUGGGGGAAACCCUGAACCAGCAACGCCGCGUGAAGGAAGAAGGCUUUCGGGUUGUAAACUUCUUUUACCAGGGACGAAAUAAAUGACGGUACCUGGAGAAUAAGCUCCGGCUAACUACGUGCCAGCAGCCGCGGUAAUACGUAGGGAGCUAGCGUUAUCCGGAUUUACUGGGUGUAAAGGGCGCGUAGGCGGGAGAGCAAGUCAGAUGUGAAAUACCGGGGCUCAACCCCGGGGCUGCAUUUGAAACUGUUUUUCUUGAGUGAUGGAGAGGCAAGUGGAAUUCCUAGUGUAGCGGUGAAAUGCGUAGAUAUUAGGAGGAACACCAGUGGCGAAGGCGACUUGCUGGACAUUAACUGACGCUGAGGCGCGAAAGCGUGGGGAGCAAACA